rnacentral:lncRNA from 1 species
CCUUUGGCUAUUCGGCAAUGGUGUCCCAUUAAUAAGAAGGAAGGUAGGGGUGGUGGUAAAGUGGGUGGGGAGACAGGGCAGACAGAAAAUAAGAGUUCUGUCACUCAACUGUUUUACCCGGUUAAUAUGUCCAAACCAUGAGAGCAAUUGCAGUGGACAGAUAUCGUCCUUAAUUCCCCGCGGGGUUCUGGUAUCUUUGUCCAAGUAGUCAAACCAUGUGCCUAAUGCCUCAGCAGCUGUUAAUAACCCACCCUCCAACACCAGGUGGUUAAGGCCUUCCCUAGAGAAACUGACAUCUACAGGACAAUAUAGCAACCCUGAGCUCUUCCUUUUGGAAUCCAGAUCCACAAGGACAGAAAGACUGAUGUGCUGCUGAUACCUGCUUCUAUUACAAUGCCUUCUGCAUGGAUUAUCAUUAUUAAUUGCUAGAGUGAUUUUGGAAUUUCUACAAAGUUUGGUUUUCAUUUCCAUUGGCUUUAAAAGAACAAAAGGUAAGCAAGAAUGUAACUUUAGUAAAGUUAUAAUCUCAUUCAGAAUACAAGUCUUUCUUCAUUUCAAAAUUUAAAAAAAAUUAUUAGAAGUUGGCUGGAAUAAGAAACUAUAAAAAUGAGCAGACAUCCACACGUAACUUUAUUUUAGUCAAAACGGC